UAUAUCGGCCCAUAUCACACUGAAAGCACUAGUUCUCGUCUCAUCACUGAAGUUAAGCAACAUUGAACCUAGUUAGUACUAAGAAGGCUGACCACUUGAGAAAACUUGGUCUUGUAAGCA
rnacentral:rRNA from 1 species